rnacentral:rRNA from 1 species
GCUAAACGCGAAGAACCUUACCAAGGCUUGACAUGGAUUUCUAAGCGCGUGAAAGCGCGUGACCCUUCGGGGGACUUCCACAGGUGCUGCAUGGCCGUCGUCAGCUCGUGUCGUGAGAUGUUGGGUUAAGUCCCGCAACGAGCGCAACCCUUGUGACUAGUUGCCAGCGGGUCAUGCCGGGAACUCUAGUCAGACUGCCCAGAUCAACUGGGAGGAAGGUGGGGACGACGUCAGGUCAGUAUGGCCCUUACGCCUUGGGCUGCACACGUACUACAAUGCCCAGUACAAUGAGAACCGAUGCCGCGAGGUGGAGGAAAUCUGUAAAACUGGGCCCAGUUCGGAUUGGAGGCUGCAACUCGCCUCCAUGAAGUUGGAAUCGCUAGUAAUGGCGCAUCAUCCACGGCGCCGUGAAUACGUUCCCGGGUCUUGUACACACCG